rnacentral:rRNA from 1 species
AGUCUGGUGCCAGCAGCCGCGGUAAUUCCAGCUCCAAUAGCGUAUAUUAAAGUUGUUGCAGUUAAAAAGCUCGUAGUUGAACUUCUGGGCGUUCUCACAGUGGCUCCGGUCGUUGUGAGGGCGUUCAUCCGUCUGAGAACUAUAUUCGGCCUUCGCUGGUCGGUAUAGGGAUCAGGCAUUUUACUUCGAAAAAAUUAGAGUGUUCCAGGCAGGCAAUCGCCUUGAAUACACAAGCAUGGAAUAAUGGAAUAGGACUAUGAUUCAUUUUGUUGGUUAUUGGAUCAUAGUAAUGAUUAACAGGGACAGUUGGGGGCAUUAGUAUUUAAUUGUCAGAGGUGAAAUUCUUGGAUUUAUUAAAGACUAACUUAUGCGAAAGCAUUUGCCAAGGAUGUUUUCAUUAAUCAAGAACGAAAGUUAGGGGAUCAAAGACGAUCAGAUACCGUCCUAGUCUUAACCAUAAACUAUUCCGACUAGGGAUUGGUUGGGUUCCUUCAGCCCAAUCAGCACCUUAUGAGAAAUCAAAGUCUUUGGGUUCCGGGGGGAGUAUGGUCGCAAGGCUGAAACUUAAAGGAAUUGACGGAAGGGCACCACCAGGAGUGGAGCCUGCGGCUUAAUUUGACCCAACACGGGGAAACUCACCAGCGCAAAACAUGGGUGGGAUUGACAGAUUGAGAGCUCUUUCUUGAUUCUAUGGGUGGUGGUGCAUGGCCGUUCUUAGUUGGUGGAGUGAUUUGUCUGGUUAAUUCCGUUAACGAACGAGACCUUAACCUGCUAACUAGUCUCUUCAUGUUAAAUGGGGAGGACUUCUUAGAGGGACUAUGAGUGCAAGCUCAUGGAAGUUUGAGGCAAUAACAGGUCUGUGAUGCCCUUAGAUGUGCUGGGCCGCACGCGCGCUACACUGAUACGUUCAGCAAGUUUUAUCCUGGUCCGGAAGGAUUUCGGGUAAUCUUUGUAAAGCGUAUCGUGCUGGGGAUCGAUCUUUGCAAUUAUAGAUCUUGAACGAGGAAUUCCUAGUAAGUGCAAGUCAUCAGCUUGUACUGAUUACGUCCCUGCCCUUUGUACACACCGCCCGUCGCUCCUACCGAUUCGAGUGAUCCGGUGAACCUUCUGGACUGCUGAGGUCUGCCUCGGUGGAAAGUUAAGUAAACCUUAUCACUUAGAGGAAGGAGAAGUCGUAACAAGGUU